GGGGCUGUAGCUCAGUGGUAGAGUGCUUGUUUUGCAAACAUGAGGCACUGGGUUCAAUCCUCAGCACCA
rnacentral:tRNA from 1 species